AGGGUGGUCCCCAGGAAAGGGGGAGGUUCCAGGUUCCCUGCCCCACCCAAGGAAGGGUGGAGCUGAGCAGAAAAAGGAGAAGCUGCGGAAGAGACUGAGGAAGGAAGGAAGCAGAAUGGAGCCAGAAGGAGACCUGGAAGAGAUGCAUGGAGCCUAGAAACAUGUGAAAAAACUGCGCUUGUCUUUUGGUCGUGGACUGGGUGACACAGAUAUUUGCUUCCUGAGAGCUGAUCCUGCUCACCUUUAGGAUUCCAUGUCCCAAGACAGACAUACAGCGAACAGCACUGUGUAGAAUUCUUCACCAAUUCUCUCAACUGUCAAAUAACUUGAAGACUUAGAGUGGCAGACAAGUGACAUGUUGGGAAAACAGAUCUUGUGGUGAAUGUGAUUGAAGAACCUUAACAACCUGAUAUAUGUCGUACUCUAUUGACAUAGACCCUGAAAGCUCUAUUACAGACGCUUGUUCUUCCUCUGAAAAAAAUGAAAAGUGGGGUCUUCCAACCAGGCGGAAAUCACAACCAGAAAAGAGGCUUAUUGAGAUCAAAGAGAACAUGAAA